rnacentral:rRNA from 1 species
GACGAACGCUGGCGGCGUGCUUAACACAUGCAAGUCGAACGAAGUGGCGAACGGGUGAGUCACGCGUAAUCAACCUACCCUUCAGAGGGGGACAACAGUUGGAAAAGACUGCUAAUACCACAUAUUGACGGAGGGGAAUGCGUCUGAUUAGCUAGCGGGAGGGGUAACGGCCUACCAAGGCGAUGAUCAGUAGCCGGUCGGAGAGGAUGAACGGCCACAUUUGGACUGAGACACGGCCCAGACUCCUACGGGAGGCAGCAGUGGGGAAUCUUCCGCAAUGGACGAAAGUCUGACGGGGCAACGCCGCGUGAGUGAUGACGGCUUUCGGGUUGUAAAGCUCUGUUAAUCGGGACGCGGUACCGGAAUAGAAAGCCACGGCUAACUACGUGCCAGCAGCCGCGGUAAUAC